ACCAGAUCGUUAGGAACGAAACUGAGCCCUGGAUCAGAUAGGACGCACGUCACGUUAGGGAAGAGACGGGCGAAGCGGCGGCCCCGAACGAGCUGGUUCUUUCUGAAACCCUCGUCAUGCGGCCGAUUCGCCCAACCCAGGGCUAUCUCUUUUUUGAUCUUCCACUUUGAAGGCCAUUUGCGGCGGCGCCCAUUGUCCCCCCGGCGAGGAAGGGAAAAAAAUGGAAGAUUCUGGCCUGGAGUUCCUUCUAGACGCCAUUGACAGGUUUCCGUUGCGGGAGGAGUUCGCCGACAACCUAAGCACCCAGAUCCGGCUCCCCUUGCCUUGUUGCCGCGGAACGAGGAGGACCUGGGCAUCCCAGCGGACUCAAAUGCAAAUUCUAGUUGUAGCCAACAGCUCGGCGGCGAGAGCCAUGGCGGACAGCGUGGAGAUGUUCGUCGGCGGAAAGAUGCUUCUGCGACAAGCUCUGCCCAGUCAACUGACAUAGUGAACCUUGGACAAAAAGGUCGUGCGGACGGGCAACGCGAGUGCCGAAGCAUUUGAACACACGAUGAGCGCACCAUUGGCAGCGAAGAUGGGUGGUUUAGGUUUUGAAGACCAUAAUGAGAGACUCGAACUGGGUAGAUUGGUUUACUAUGUUGGUGCUGAUAAUGGUAAGCAAGAUAACAGUGAUGGAGUGCCCUUCAAGGCCUAGCGCCUCCUGAUAAGCAACAAGGGGUCGGCAGGCCAACAAAUGGCAGCGAAAAGGCGGCUUACGAGGGUCUGAGCAAGUGGAGAAGAUUCUGUAGCAUAUGUCUUUGAGAGGGACAUAAGCGCACUACCUGCCUGGACAGAGACGAUGCUCCGAAGAAACCAGGGAAGCCUGGCAAAUGCAAAAACCGUGGCAUGGAAGGAAAACGCCGGAUGGCAUGCACAAUGCCGCUUGGAAUUGCUGAAAAUGAGUUGCAGAAAUAUGAAAUCUACUAUUUAAAAUGUUUGUUAUCGAGGAUUUUCUAGUGUGUUUAAGUAAGCAUUUGCUACACGCUUGUUCCUCUUGUGGUUAGAGACAUGACAGUUGUAUAACAAAAACAGAAUUCAUUGGUCACACAUGAUAUUCAUUAAUUUCUAAUAGGCAAAUGCAUUGUCCUAGAGGAAACAUGCUUAGAGGUUGACUGGUUGAGAGUGCCACUCUUCAGUACAAACGCCCCUGCCAGGGGAUGAUAAUA